rnacentral:rRNA from 1 species
UACAGAGGUCCCAAGCGUUGUUCGGAUUCAUUGGGCGUAAAGGGUGCGUAGGCGGCGGGGUAAGUCAGGUGUGAAAUCCCGGAGCUCAACUCCGGAACUGCACUUGAUACUGCCUUGCUCGAGUACUGGAGAGGAGACUGGAAUUUACGGUGUAGCAGUGAAAUGCGUAGAUAUCGUAAGGAAGACCAGUGGCGAAGGCGAGUCUCUGGACAGUUCCUGACACUGAGGCACGAAGGCCAGGGGAGCAAACGGG